AGCGCGGGGUAGAGCAGUUUGGUAGCUCGCAAGGCUCAUAACCUUGAGGUCACGGGUUCAAAUCCUGUCUCCGCA
rnacentral:tRNA from 1 species